UACGGAGGGUGCAAGCAUUGAUCGGAAUUAUUGGGCGUAAAGGGCGCGUAGGCGGUUAAAUAAGUCAGAUGUGAAAUGCCGGGGCUCAACCCCGGAGCUGCAUUUGAAACUAUUAGACUAGAGUAUAGUUAGGGAAAAUGGAAUUCCACGUGUAGCGGUGAAAUGCGUAGAUAUGUGGAAGAACACCGGUGGUGAAGACGAUUUUCUGGGCUAUAACUGACGCUGAGGCGCGAAAGCUAGGGGAGCAAAC
rnacentral:rRNA from 1 species